GCAAGGGGAGGGAGGAGCCAGCAAAAGAUUGGGUCAGUCCUCCAGCCUCUUUCCUCACUUUGCUCAGGGCUGCAUCUCAGGCUGGAGCCCCUCUCCAGACCCUGAGCACAGCUGCACGGGAGACCAAGUCCUGCUCUGCAGAGAACUCAUCCUCCUUCCAGGACAAGGACCCUCAGUGGGAGUCAAGCCGUGGAUCUGCUGUACACGGUUGAGGCUGGCUUCUGAUCCAACUACAAGUCCACGGUCCUUGGCAGUUACAGAAAAGACAACCACAACACUGACUGAAAACCAGUUCUCCUUCCUGCAAGUCUGGACCAGGGCUUCGGUUAAAAUUAAAGGAAGUAUCUUAGAUAAGUAGUGAAUGACUUGUGGCCAUUCAUAAUAACAUUUGUAAUUGGCUGGAGCAUUUUUCUGAUUUAUUAUUUGCUUAGAUCCCUUUGCUUGCUUCUUGAUUCAUGUAAUCAUUUUACCUGUGAUUACAUUGCAGUCAAUCAAACCUGUAAUUUGUUGUGAUAUUGACAAUAGGAGAUAUUUCAUCCUUGCUCUAUUUUAAUUUAACCCUUGUGAUAAUAGAGUUCGUACCAAAGUUUAGGGCCAGUGCUAUUUUCCCAUACGAGCUGUUGGCCCCAACUGUAAUAAUGCUUCUUGCUUUUCUUUACUGUCUCAUCCCACUGGUGUCUGCUGCUUCCUGGAAGGAAAAUUCUCUCAUUAGGUUGUCUCAGAGUAUACCGAGAGGUGGGAAUUUAAGUAAUUGUUGGAUAUGUCAUUUGAAAUCUCAAACUAUUUGUGAACAGUAUAUCCCAUCGGUGGUCCCUAUAACUGAUUUUGAUACUGUGCCAGACCCCUUAACCUUCUAUAAUCUUCCUCCUUCAAGCUUCACAUUCCAAGUUCAGAUAACCAAGAGACCUCAGAAUAUCCCAAUCCCUUGCUUCAACCUGUCUGAAGUAAUUUCCAUUGGAGGAAAAGUUACUACCGGUCCCCCGCGGUCCCUCAAAUUUCUCCUGGAGAAAUGUGAUGCCCAAAAUCCCCUGAAAUGUACACUUGACAAAUGUGUAAGGGCUAAAAAUGACACGAAUUUAUGCCAGAUAGCCAGACAAGUUGGAUAUCAUGUAAAUGGACUAUGGAAGGCUUGCAGUGGCUCUCACCCCUGGCUUGAAAACAUAAUCUCUGAACUCCCCAAAAAUGAAAGAAUCAAUGACGUGACCCUGGGAGGUAUAACUUGCUCCCCUCCAGGAUAUAUCUUUGUCUGUGGCAUAGGGAGUGACUCACCAACACAAGGAUGGGCACAUCGCUGCUUAGACAGCUGGCAAAUGGAAGGGUCAUGCCUAUUGGGAUAUUUUAGGAUCCCUUUUUCUGUGCAUAGUCUGGAGAGCAUGACUUCUCUCUCUAAAUCAAACACCCGUCUUAAAAGAGAGAUAUUGGCAGGGUAGGAGGACAAUAUAGGACAAAGUAUUUUUGCCAAACUCACACCAACUGCCAGAGUUUAUGUCAAUAGAGAUAUGAUUCAUAAUGUAUCUGCCGCAAUUGGACAAAUUGCUGAGGACACAGCUAAAAGUAUUGCAGCCCAACAAACAUCUUUGAACUCAUUGGCUCGAGUGGUCCUGGAUAAUAGAAUAGCCCUUGACUUCUUAUUGGCAAAACAAUGAUUAUGUGCAGUGGCUCAUCCCACAUGCUGCACAUAUGUCAAUACCUCUGGAGAAGUUGAAACCCAAGUAAACAGAAUAAUUGAAAAGGCUACCUGGUUAUAGGAUGUUUAUAAAGAGGACAUGUACCAGGACUUAUUUUUGUGGUAGCAAUCUGGAAUAGGGGGACUCUUCUGAGUACUGUUACAAGGCUCCGUCUGAUCAUCAUCCUCUUUGUAAUGUGUUCAUUAAUUUUCACAUAUUUCUCCAGAUACUAUGACAAAGUGAUCAAAGAGGGAGAUAAUGUUUCAUAAUGCAAAAUACUGAUGCUAGGCCUGGGACUUGAGAAUUCUUAGAAAAGAAGGUCCAAGACUUUCUCUCCUCUAAUCCUGAAGAAUUGACAUCGCCCCUGUUCAGCAGGAAGUAGCCAGAACGGUCAUCGCCCCAUUCCCCUCAGGAUUGAGGAGUAUCGAAGAGAAGAGGGAACUGAAACAGAGCUUGACCCUGCAGUGCCCUCCUUCGUACAAUUCCCUCUUGUCCCCACUUCUUUUUUGUAGAAAAAGCUAGAGUUUUUGAGGCCUUGUCAGAGUUCCAAAGAGCAGACUCAAGCAGUUAAUGAUUACAGAAGUGAGGAAAUGCAGAAACAAAGGAAAAGCAACCA